UACGGAGGGGGCGAGCGUUGUCCGAAUUUAUUGGGCGUAAAGCGCGUGUAGGCGGAUGGACAAGCCUGAAGUGAAAGGUUGGGGCUCAACCCCAUACAGUGCCUUGGGGACUGUUCGUCUGGAGGCCGGCAGAGGAGAGUGGAAUUCCUGGUGUAGCGGUGGAAUGCGUAGAGAUCAGGAAGAACACCCAUGGCGAAGGCAGCUCUCUGGGCCGGUACUGACGCUGAGACGCGAAAGCGCGGGGAGCGAACGGG
rnacentral:rRNA from 1 species